rnacentral:rRNA from 1 species
UACGGAGGGUGCAAGCGUUAUCCGGAUUUACUGGGUUUAAAGGGUGUGUAGGCGGACUUUUAAGUCAGGGGUGAAAUCCCGGGGCUCAACCCCGGAACUGCCUUUGAUACUAUUAGUCUUGAAUUAUGUUGAGGUUGGCGGAAUAUAACAUGUAGCGGUGAAAUGCAUAGAUAUGUUAUAGAACACCGAUUGCGAAGGCAGCUGGCUAAACAUAUAUUGACGCUGAGGCACGAAAGCGUGGGUAGCGAACAGG